GUCCAGACUCCUACGGGAGGCAGCAGUGGGGGAUAUUGCACAAUGGGGGGAACCCUGAUGCAGCGACGCCGCGUGAGGGAAGACGGUUUUCGGAUUGUAAACCUCUGUCUUUAGGGACGAAACAAAUGACGGUACCUAAAGAGGAAGCCACGGCUAACUACGUGCCAGCAGCCGCGGUAAUACGUAGGGGGCAAGCGUUAUCCGGAUUUACUGGGUGUAAAGGGAGCGCAGACGGUGAGACAAGUCUGAAGUGAAAGCCCGGGGCUCAACCCCGGGACUGCUUUGGAAACUGCCUGACUGGAGUGCUGGAGAGGCAAGCGGAAUUCCUAGUGUAGCGGUGAAAUGCGUAGAUAUUAGGAAGAACACCAGUGGCGAAGGCGGCUUGCUGGACAGUAACUGACGUUGAGGCUCGAAAGCGUGGGGAGCAAACAGGAUUAGAUACCCUAGUAAC
rnacentral:rRNA from 1 species